GCUUUCAGGGUCUGGCGGCGCGUUCCCAUUAUCAUCUUCCUGUGACCCUUCCUCAUUUUACACGGAGGAGGUGGUCUCCACAGUGAUUUUAAAUUUAAUAUUUCUCUCAUAACCUUUGUGAGAUAAAAGAAUCUUCAUCCUUUUAACUUUGACGAGGGAUGAAAUGAAGUUUUCCACAACAUUUGGGAAGAUUUACAAGGUAUACUCCAUUUAGGCAAAAAUAACUGUCAGGGAAUAGUCAUUGUCAAGAGCAGUUUGUAUUGCAACCCACAAAUUAUACCUCUAUGUCGGUCCAGAAAUCCUUCAAUUUACCAAGAGAUUAUGUUUGAAAAUCUUAGAAAAAAUAAACGAUCCUGAAAAACUAAGUAGUAGGACCAGCUUUACAGACCAGUGGGAGAUCCAGGCUACAGGGAGAACACAUGGAAUUCCAGAAUCAUGAACCAUCUGGAAGGGGCUGAGGACACAUAUGAAGUACAGUCUAAAGCUUCAGGAUCAAUUUUGGGAGCCAGAUGUUCUUCAUUUAACGGCAAAAGACCAGAGGAUCAAGGAGAAAAGGUAUGUUUUCCAACUAUACUUCAGCCAUCAUGAGUUGGUGUCAGAGAUCAGCUAUAAUGGCAGUGACAGCAAACUAGCUCAAGAACCUGGAGCUUUUGGGUAGGGAGAUAGAAUGAAAACCCAAAAGGAAACCUUCUUUCUUAGACUAUACCUUAAAUCAGAUUUUCUCAGUGCUUUUUGUCUCUCCCUAUAGUACCAGUUUAAUGUCAAAUAACUGCUCUUUCACUGAUUAACCAAAUGUAUCAAAAAUUUUUUUAAGAUUGUCACCAUGGUUCUUUUUUUUUUUUUUUUUUUUUUUUUUGAGACGGAGUCUCGCUCUGUUGCCCAGACUGGAGUGCAGUGGCGCAAUCUUGGCUCACCGCAACCUCCGCAUCCCGAGUUCAAGCAAUCCUCCUGCCCCAGCCUUCCGAGUAGCUGGGACUACAGGCGCAUGCCACCACACCCGGCUAAUUUUUGUAGUUUUAGUAGAGACGGGGUUACACUAUGUUAGCCAGGCUGGUCUCAAACUGCUGACCUUGUGAUCCACCUGCCUCGGCUUCCCAAAGUGCUGGGAUUAUAGGCAUGAGCCACCACGCCCGGCCAUCACCAUGGUUUUUAUAUUUUUUAUUUGUAAAUAAGAUUUCUAAGAUAAUUUUCCACAGUUUCAGGACUCAAUGGAUUUUAUUUUCAUUACAAUAUAGCAAAAAUAGUAAGCAACAGACUUUUAUUGCUAAUAAUACUUAGUAAAAAUGGAAAUGUGUCAAUGCUUUGCUUAUUUCAUGAAGUCAACACAUUUGUUCACAAUAUGCUUUGCUGUGACUAUUUUCAAAGAAAAUACAUCUGAGGUUAGACUGCUGGAAAUUUUAAAUAAUCCAAUUGUAUGACAGCAUCUUAGGAUGGGUAGAAAGUACCAAACAUUGGCCGGGUGCAGUGGCUUAUGCCUGUAAUCCCAGCACUUUGGGAGGCCAAGGCAGGAGGAUCACUUGAGCCCAGGAGUUCGAGACCAACCUGGGCAAUAUGGUGAAACCCCAUCUCUGCUAUUAAAAUAAAUUUUAAAAAUAUAUUUAAAAAUUUUUUAAUGCCAUUGUACUAAUUAUUAUUCUUGUGUAUUAAACAGAAGACUUCUCAUCGCCUACUCCCUGCCCAAUAUUAGUAUUGUGAAGCCUAGCAAAAAAAAAAAAAAAAAAAGGAGGCCUAUGGGUGAUUGUUCUGAUUCAUAGGACCCUAUGGAGGCUCUGUUUAGGAAUAAUAUUGUUAAUCUUUUCACAAUAUUGGUUGGUUAUAUAAAGAAAAAUUACAAAAUUGAGAAAACGAUAUUUUUAAACAUAAGUACCAACUUACUCUUUUUCAUGUUUCGCAAAAUUUUCAAACUCUAC
rnacentral:lncRNA from 1 species